rnacentral:rRNA from 1 species
GAUGAACGCUGGCGGCGUGCCUAAUACGUGCAAGUCGAGCGAACAGACGAGGAGCUUGCUCCUUUGACGUUAGCGGCGGACGGGUGAGUAACACGUGGGUAACCUACCUAUAAGACUGGGAUAACUUCGGGAAACCGGAGCUAAUACCGGAUAAUAUUUCGAACCGCAUGGUUCGAUAGUGAAAGAUGGCUUUGCUCUCACUUAUAGAUGGACCCGCGCCGUAUUAGCUAGUUGGUAAGGUAACGGCUUACCAAGGCAACGAUACGUAGCCGACCUGAGAGGGUGAUCGGCCACACUGGAACUGAGACACGGUCCAGACUCCUACGGGAGGCAGCAGUAGGGAAUCUUCCGCAAUGGGCGAAAGCCUGACGGAGCAACGCCGCGUGAGUGAUGAAGGUCUUCGGAUCGUAAAACUCUGUUAUUAGGGAAGAAUAAACGUGUAAGUAACUGUGCACGUCUUGACGGUACCUAAUCAGAAAGCCACGGCUAACUACGUG